AAGAUACCACAUUAAAACACCGGUUCUUGUGCGAUCGCCGAAGUUAAACAACGUCAAGUCUGCUCAGUACCUAGAUGGGUGACCGCUUCGAAAUGCCAGGUGCUGUAA